GGAUGUGAGGGCGAUCUGGCUGUGACAUCUGUUACCCCAUUGAUCGCCAGGGUUGAUUCGGCAGAUCUGGCUGGCUAGGCGGGUGUCCCCUUCCUCCCUCACCGCUCCAUGUGCUUCCCUCCCGAAGCUGCAUGCUCCGUCGAAGAGGACGACCUUCCCCGAUAGAAGACAGUACCCUUCUUCGGGUCAAAGGUAUACGAGUAGCUGCGCUCCCCUGCUAGAACCUCCAAACAAGCUCUCAAAUCUGUUAGACAGCAGUUAUUUGUUAUAUAAAUUAGUUCUCAUCUUACAACUUCAAAAUUAAUAUCACUCUUUUUUAGAAUUUAUUA
ensembl:misc_RNA 7SK 7SK RNA